GCUCCGGCUCCCUCCGCAGCCUGCGGGCGGGGCUCCCAGCCCAUCCGGAGCCUCGCGGCGCCCCCUCCGCUCUGCCAGCAGCGCGGCCUCCCGGUUCCCAGCCUCCCGGCCUGGGGGGCCCCCACCCAGCGGAGUCGCUGACCCGACUGCUCUCGCGCUGCCCCCAGCUGCGCUCGGGCCGCCGCAGCCUCGGCGCGCCCCCACCCCGCUUCCUGCCUCGGCAGCUUUGCCCUGGCCGGGCGGCCGCCCUGGAUCGCACCCCGUUCCUUCCUUCCUUCAUUCUUUCUGGCAACUCGCAUUCCUCGAGCGCCUGCGACGUGCCCCGCACACGGCCUCUCCGACCUUCCGAGUGUGGCCCCUGGCCCACCAGGGUCCUCCGGGAAGCCUCUGCCCUCCGCCCCAGUCGUUCUCCCCACCCUGCCCCCAACUCUUCUCUCUGAUGUCCUGUUUCACUCCGAGUUAGCGUGUAAUUGUUCUCUGAUUAUUUCUCCUGUGAAGGGUCCGUCUGUGGCAAGGUCAGGGGGUCGCUUUGUGACCGAAAUCAGGGGUCUGUCUGAAAGUAGGGUGAGGGGUCAGAGUGUGACCAGAGUGGGGGUUCAGCCCGGCUGUGGCAGGGUUUGGCGAUAAGUGGGGGCAGAAGUUGGCAGCAGUCAGUCUGUGGCCCGGCUCAGUAGACGGGGUGUGAGGGUCAGUCGGGGCAGCAUCAGUGGCCAAGGUUAGUGAGUCAGUCUCUGAGUGAGGUCAGUGGACAGUCCGUCAGGGUAGUAGGUCACCCUGAGACCAGGAUUUGGGGGUUGCCUUUGACAAACCAGAUAAGGGGAGGAGGGCACUGUAGGCCUGUGAACUCAGAUUCCUCUCCCUGCUUGCGGAGGCGGGGGUAUUGGGGGAGGGCUGACCAUAGCCUCCGGCUUCACCACCCAGGCUGUGGAGCUGACCUUCCGUGUGGGGACACUCCCUCUCCUCAACACCACCCUUCUCCUCCUUUGUGCCAGAAGCUGGAGGCAGAAGCCCUCACUGGGCCUGACGGUGGUCACAGGGAGCCCAGCUUGGCAGUAAGACUGGCUGUGGUAGGGAAGCCUUAAGCUUCCUGGGGACCCCACCCUGGAGCCACCCAGGUUUAACAGGGUGGCGAUGUUGUUGGCAUAAUCCAAUCACAGCCUCUCAGGACUUCCUGUCCAGUAUUUGUGCUCUUCAGGGCCCUUUCCUGCACACCCAGGAGCAUCGGACGGCCCGGAGUCUUGAGGAAUAGCGCAGGGACUGAAAGCAGGGCACCCACACGGCGCCUCCACUUCCAGGCUCCCCCACCGUGGUGAAAUUGACAUUUCAGUAAGAUGUACCAGAUUUUUAUCACAUGGCUUUGUGAAACCCAGCACCCAGCCAACUUCGCACACAGUGACGCAUGUGAAUGUGGACACACACUUGGAGAAGGCUGUGCUGUGCUGUGCUGCUUCCUAAAGGGGCUGAAACAAGCUCUCUUACCCUGGAGAACUGCCUGCCCUCUUCCUCCUGCUCAUCAUCCUCUGUGGAGUGAGGCAAGAAAGGGUGCUCACCUCUCGGCAGGAGCGUAUUCCUUGGCAAAACUGACCUGGGAGGAAUUCCUGGCUCCAGCCCUUAUCCUGCGUGUCAGAGCAUGGGUCCCAGUCCUGGCCCUAUCCCCUCCUUGCUGUGCAACCCUGGGCACCUAGCUUUGCCUCUCUCAGCCUCAGCUUCUCAUCUGUGAAAGGGGGCUGACCAUUUCUGCCUUUCAGGGUUGUUGUGAGGAUCAGAGAAGUACAUAAAAGGUGCCUGGCACAGAGUCAUUGCUCCAUAAGUGAUAGCUCUUAAAAGUCUGGCUGGUUUUUUAACUCAGUAAAAACUAUCUUUUAUACAUUCUUUAAUAAAACGAGGCUGUGGUCUGUGUGCCUUAACACAGUUAGUACACUUUCUUGCUUUUUAACACAUCUGUUAAUCCAAUCAAGGUGUUUUUCCUCCAAAAAUUAUUUUAUUUCAUAUUUUAUUCAUAUUUUACAAUGUCUGGGCAAGUCAUUGAAGCCCAUGGAUCCUCAGUUUCCUUAGCUCUAAAAUGGGAAAAAUGUCUUUCUCACAAGGUUGUUUUGAGAAUUUAACAAGACGCUGUGUGUAAAAGUGCUGUGUACAUUGUAAAGUGGAACAAGUGUUAAGAGAGAUUUUUCUGCACCCCCUUCCCUCUCACCAGGCUGAAUUCCCCAAAGACAGGAGAGAGUUCUAUUUACCUUUAUUUAUCUGCAGCAUUGAAUGUGUAGUAAUAAAUUUAAUAAUAAUGG